AAAAAAAAAACGCCGGCAUUUCAAGACCUCUUCCUCCAGUUUUCCAGCUCCGCUCUCUCUCUGCAUGUGUAGAACUACCAAUAGGAACGCGCCCUCUCUCUGAAAUGGCCUGUGAUUGGCCGAAGUCAUGGGCAAGAUUU